rnacentral:misc_RNA from 1 species
AAGAGAGAGUGUGAGAGAAGAGAGAUAAGAGAACGAGGUAGAAUAAUAGGAUCGAAACGAGCAGAGCGAAGGGGGAGGGAAUGAACGGCCCUGGGAGUCAUCAGCAUCGCGGCUUGGGCAUGCAGGGACGAUACAGGGCCGUAGUAACUGGUGGCACCCCGGCAGGGCCCCACUCUCGCCCCCCAGCGCCACCUCACGCCCGCGGUGGAUGGCAUCCCCAUAAUCAGCAUCCUCAGCACGCCCAGAUACCUCAGCAAUACACCGGCAACAAGGAAUACCCAUAUCGACAAUGUCCACCACCACGCUUCCAUAACGGGGAUUGCCCUGGCGUUGGUACGUCUACCGGGCCAAACGGUAAGGAAGUUUCGUAUCACGGGAACGUAGGCGGGUCUAGUGUGGGAUAUAAACCGCCUCCGCAACAUAGUCCACAAUCGAGAGGUCCACCGACGCACUUUCCACAAGAAUCCGUGGGUCCACCGGCCAAUUCCCCUCCGUUACACAUCAAUAUCUGCGGCCAAGAGAACACGAUGCGCGGUCCAUUAUUGAACAUGAGUCCAGGUCUCGGAGCUAGCAAUGUUGAUAUGGAGUAUCGUAGGAGUUCCCAAGCCACAAAUCAGUUACCUCUGAGUCCUGUACAAAUACAACCAUCGCCACCGUAUUACAGACAACCUAGUCAAGACGAUGGUAGAAAGAGCGAGUCUCCAUCUAGGAAACGUCGUCGAAUAUCUCGUAACGGUGCCGUCUCUGGUAUAGAAGUUCGUGAAACAACACCACCGUCUCCUACACCACCGUUACACACUACUCCACCGCCAUGGGAAUUCUCAGCGGCGCCCCAAAGGCGAUCACCGCGAAAUCAUAUGUCGACACGCGGCAGUCCAACUAUCAGAAAUCGUUAUCAACGAUACACGGAUUCGUUCGGCUUGUCCUAUCCGUUUGUGCCCGGUCACACUCCCCAUCCGCCCAUUCAUAAUUCCCAUCAUGGAAUCCAUAGUUCUCAUCACAAUAUUCACAAUUCGCAUCAUAAUUUACACAAUUCGCAUCAUAAUAUACAUAACGCGCAUCAAACGCAUCCCCAUCAUCCGCCGGGCACAGGACAUCAUCCUGCGCAAGGAGCAAACGGUCCUGUAGUUGUAGAUGUUGGACAAGUUGGUGUUUCCGGUUUAGGAGUUGCUGUUAGCGGAGAACCGCUCUGGCAUCCUCAGGCGACAGGUUAUAGAAUUCCUUGCCAACUGCACGGCUUGUACACACCAACCGGAGCACACGCGUUUGCACAUUCGUGUCAGGUUACGCAUCAUAGUCACUAUUCAGCAGCUCACCCAACCCAUCCAGGUCACAGUUUGGUUGGUUCGAUAGUUGGCGCAACAUCCAGAGGAUAUCCUACACCAACCGGAGGUCCUGUAGCGGCUCUUCAUCAUGCUCACGCACCACCACCACCCGUCCAUACUACUCAUUAUACUGCGCACCAUCAACUUUCUCAACAGCGAGAAGUUGAAUUAGAGUUAAUAGAAUCCCAUCAUCAUCAUAGAGUGGGAGCUGCAGCUGGCGCCCCAUUACCAUUACCACAUUCGUAUUCACCACCGGCUCUCACUCAAGUCACUACUCCCACUCCUACUCCUAUAUUCUUAUCAGAAACGAGGAACAGUCAAUUGGAAAUGAUUCAGACCAGGACUCGACGCACAGCGUCAAAUGUUCACACGCUCAGACGAUCAAGGUCGAGUAGAUGGAGAGGUACGCCUCCGAUACCACCGACUACUUAUUCAGGAUUUUUGUUGCACUUCUUCGCAAUGCUCAGCAACCCACCAUUAUCCCCAUAUAGUCAGGCGGAACUCUCCUCGCCAGAUUCAGCAACAGAAAAUUACGAAGCUCUUUUAUCUUUGGCGGAGAGGCUAGGAGAAGCUAAACCACGAGGAUUGACUCGAGCCGAAGUGGAGCAGUUGCCAUCGUACAAAUUCAAUGCAGAAACUCAUCAAGGAGAUCAAACUAACUGCGUAGUUUGCAUGUGUGACUUCGAAGCUUUGCAAUCGCUGCGUGUUUUGCCAUGUUCGCAUGAAUUCCAUUCUAAAUGCAUCGACAAGUGGCUUAAAUCAAAUCGAACAUGUCCAAUAUGUCGUGGUGAUGCCGGAGAAUAUUUUGGGAAUAGCGGAACCGGUAGCGACUGACGCCAAGCCGCUCAAAUACACUAGCGCCAACUAUCAAGGGUCUCAGGGACGCUACUUGGUACAGAGCUUCCAGCAAUUACAUUGCUAAUUUGUGCAAAUUUUUGUUGACAAGUAUUUCUCGUCUUUUCUCUGACCGAGUUGUGUAUGUUAUGAUCGCCUUGAUUUCGCGAAGAAGAAAGGAUUGAAAAUGAUUGAAGAACGAAAAACAAGAAAAAUACGAGAGAUAAAAAAGAAUAAAAUUCAAAGUAUGUCAGAGUGUUUGGUAUCGAGAAAAGGAUCACACACACGCAAUAAAGAGAAGUCGAAGAAAGAGGUUAGAAAAAAAAGAAUAAAUAAUAACAUAUAAUGAGCAAAUCAAGAUUAAGAGAAGUGAAGAAAGAGAGAGUUCCGGAAAUUUAUUAAAAAUUAUCAAGCAUUUUCACGUCAGGAUCAAAGUCUGACUAUGUAUUCGUUUUGUUUCAUCGACGCGCUUCGAAUUUAGCUAUAUUGUGUU